GACGAACGCUGGCGGCGUGCUUAACACAUGCAAGUCGAACGAAAGGACGGGAAGAGCUUGCUCUUUCCGGAAUUGAGUGGCAAACGGGUGAGUAACACGUAAACAACCUGCCUUCAGGAUGGGGACAACAGACGGAAACGACUGCUAAUACCGAAUAAGUUCCAAGAGCCGCAUGGCCCAUGGAAGAAAGGUGGCCUCUACCUGUAAGCUAUCGCCUGAAGAGGGGUUUGCGUCUGAUUAGGCAGUUGGUGAGGUAACGGCCCACCAAACCUACGAUCAGUAGCCGGUCUGAGAGGAUGAACGGCCACACUGGAACUGAGACACGGUCCAGACUCCUACGGGAGGCAGCAGUGGGGAAUCUUCCGCAAUGGGCGAAAGCCUGACGGAGCAACGCCGCGUGAGUGAU
rnacentral:rRNA from 1 species